rnacentral:rRNA from 1 species
GACGAACGCUGGCGGCGUGCUUAACACAUGCAAGUCGAACGGAAAGACCCUGCUUUUGUGGGGUGCUCGAGUGGCGAACGGGUGAGUAACACGUGAGUAACCUGCCCUUGACUUUGGGAUAACUUCAGGAAACUGGGGCUAAUACCGGAUAGGAGCUCCUGCUGCAUGGUGGGGGUUGGAAAGUUUCGGCGGUUGGGGAUGGACUCGCGGCUUAUCAGCUUGUUGGUGGGGUAGUGGCUUACCAAGGGUUUGACGGGUAGCCGGCCUGAGAGGGUGACCGGCCACAAUAGGACUGAGAUACGGACCAGACGCCUACGGUAGGCAGCAGGGGGGAAUAUGGCACAGUGGGCGGGAGCCGGUUGCAGCAACGCCGCGGUCGGAAUGACGGUCUUCUGGUUGUAAACCGCUUCCGCCUGAUACGAAGCUGUAGUGACGGUAAUGAGUAAAGAAGCACCGGCUAACUACGUG